UACUGUGCAUGUACAUGGAGCCAUCUACC
rnacentral:piRNA from 1 species